rnacentral:rRNA from 1 species
UCGAGCGAAGCGCGCCCCGGAAUCCUUCGGGAGGAAGGGUCGCGACUGCCCUUAGGACGGGUGAGUAACGCGUGGGCAACCUGCCCCAUACAGGGGGACAACGGCCGGAAACGGCCGCUAAUACCGCAUGAUUCCUCUUGGCCGCAUGGCCGGGAGGGGAAAGCCGAGACGGUAUGGGAUGGACCCGCGUCUGAUUAGCUGGUUGGCGAGGUAACGGCUCACCAAGGCGACGAUCAGUAGCCGGCCUGAGAGGGCGACCGGCCACAUUGGGACUGAGACACGGCCCAAACUCCUACGGGAGGCAGCAGUGGGGAAUAUUGCACAAUGGGGGAAACCCUGAUGCAGCGACGCCGCGUGAAGGACGAAGUAUUUCGGUACGUAAACUUCUAUCAGCAGGGAAGAAAAUGACGGUACCUGACCAAGAAGCCCCGGCUAACUACGUGCCAGCAGCCGCGGUAAUACGUAGGGGGCAAGCGUUAUCCGGAUUUACUGGGUGUAAAGGGAGCGUAGACGGCCAUGCAAGUCUGAUGUGAAAACCCGGGGCUCAACCCCGGGACUGCAUUGGAAACUGUGCGGCUGGAGUGUCGGAGAGGCAAGUGGAAUUCCUAGUGUAGCGGUGAAAUGCGUAGAUAUUAGGAGGAACACCAGUGGCGAAGGCGGCUUGCUGGACGACGACUGACGUUGAGGCUCGAAAGCGUGGGGAGCAAACAGGAUUAGAUACCCUGGUAGUCCACGCCGUAAACGAUGACUGCUAGGUGUCGGGGGGCAUGGCCCCUCGGUGCCGCAGCUAACGCAAUAAGCAGUCCACCUGGGGAGUACGUUCGCAAGA